UUUUAUAUCAGCAAUCUUGUUUUGAAUUUCUUGAUGUUUGCACGGGUAUUUUUUACGGGUAGUUUUGUUUUGUAAGUUAAGCAACUGUAUUAUGAAUAGUUAGUUUUGUUUUGUUACUCCUGCAACUGUAUUUUUUAUCAGCAAUCUCGUUUUGAAUUUCUUGAUGUUUGCAUCAAGAUUUAUUAACCCUGACAAUGACUUGUACUGUAAAUAUGCUUGAAAUAUACUGCCAUGAGUGUGUACAAGUAAAUAAAGUAAUGCUGUAUGACUUG
rnacentral:sRNA from 1 species